rnacentral:rRNA from 1 species
UACGUAGGGGCCGAGCGUUGUCCGGAGUUACUGGGCGUAAAGCGCGCGCAGGCGGCCAUCUAAGCCCGGCGUGAAAGCCCCCGGCUCAACCGGGGAGGGUCGUCGGGGACUGGGUGGCUUGAGGACGGCAGGGGCUGGUGGAAUCCCCGGUGUAGUGGUGAAAUGCGUAGAUAUCGGGAGGAACACCAAUGGCGAAGGCAGCUCUCUGGGACGGUACUGACGCUGAGACGCGAAAGCGUGGGGAGCGAACAGG